AUGGGCAUUGUGGACGCACAGGAACCUUAUUUAAUUUGCAAUUACCUCGUGUAACCUUGGUAAUUUGUAAAUGGAAAGCUUUUUGUAAAAGUUCCUCUGCUUCCCCACCCAUUUUCGUGUCCUUGGCAAAUCGGAAAAUGCAAUAUUGUUUUUUAAUGCAUUUCCAGCGUGGCGACUGAACACGGACCAUGGACGUUCUCGUGAUCCCGUAGGACCUGGAGCCACUUCGGCCCCGCCACCUGCAUGGACGUGUUCCGAGGAUUCCCUCUGAGGAUGGUGCCUGGACGUGGUGAGCAGCCUGACCUCGUGUGGCGGUGGCUCCUGUUCUCCUCCUUACAAUCCUCGCUUUGGAUUCUUGGCGGUUGGUUGGUUUGGGUGGAGGGGUGAUGGGGGGGGGGGCGCGGCGGCGGCGGCAAGAAAGGUGUUGGGCUUGGUUGGGUUGCUUUUGGGAGGUUUUGGGACUGGUUGGGAGGUUUUGGGACUGGUUGGGAGGUUUUGGGACUGGUUGGGAGGUUUUGGGACUGGUUGGGAGGUUUUGGGACUGGUUGGGAGGUUUUGGGACUGGUUGGGAGGUUUUGGGACUGGUUGGGAGGUUUUGGGACUGGUUGGGAGGUUUUGGGACUGGUUGGGAGGUUUUGGGACUGGUUGGGAGGUUUUGGGACUGGUUGGGAGGUUUUGGGACUGGUUGGGAGGUUUUGGGACUGGUUGGGAGGUUUUGGGACUGGUUGGGAGGUUUUGGGACUGGUUGGGAGGUUUUGGGACUGGUUGGGAGGUUUUGGGACUGGUUGGGAGGUUUUGGGACUGGUUGGGGAGGUUUUGUGGGAGCGUUGGGUGGUUGGGGUGGUUUUUGUAGAAGUUACUCUCUGCUUCCCACCCAUUUUCCAGUGUUCUUCGCAAAUCGGAAACUAAAUGCAAAAUUAUUCCUGUUCGAUUUUUUCCAGUGUGACGGUUGGACGUGGGCCAUGGCUUUUCCCUCUCGGCGUGAGGGCUGAACACGGACCAUGGACGUUCCCGUGAUCUUCCCGUAGGACGUGGAGCCACUUUCCUCCCCGCCACCUGCAUGGACGUGUUCCGAGGCAAGCGAGUUAAGGAUUCCCCCUCGGAGGAUGUCGGCCCGCUUACCACGUCAAGGCACCAUCUUGUGUGGCGGUGGCUCCUGCUCUCCUCCCUCCAGAUUCUUGGCGCGUGACGGCUGAACACGGACCAUGGACAUUCCAGUGAUGUUCCCGUAGGAGCUGGAGCCACUUUCCUUCCCGCCACCUGCAUGGACGUGUU
rnacentral:lncRNA from 1 species